UACGGAGGAUGCAAGCGUUAUCCGGAAUGAUUGGGCGUAAAGCGCACGUAGGCGGCCUUGUAAGUCGGAUGUGAAAUCCCUCGGCUUAACCGAGGACGUGCAUCCGAAACUGUGAGGCUCGAGUAUGGAAGAGGGUCGCAGAAUUCCCGGUGUAGAGGUGAAAUUCGUAGAUAUCGGGAGGAAUACCAGUGGCGAAGGCGGCGACCUGGGCCAAUACUGACGCUGAGGUGCGAAAGCGUGGGGAGCAAACAGG
rnacentral:rRNA from 1 species